CUGCUCACUUCUUCAGCAAAUAUACAAAAAUUGUAAUGAUACAGAGAUUGGCAUGGGCCCUGCACAGAUACGUCGCUGCACAUUUGUGAAGCAUUCCAUACUGAA
ensembl:snRNA U6 U6 spliceosomal RNA